UACGUAGGGUGCGAGCGUUAAUCGGAAUUACUGGGCGUAAAGCGUGCGCAGGCGGUUGUGUAAGACAGGUGUGAAAUCCCCGGGCUUAACCUGGGAACUGCGCUUGUGACUGCACAACUAGAGUACGGCAGAGGGGGGUGGAAUUCCACGUGUAGCAGUGAAAUGCGUAGAUAUGUGGAGGAACACCGAUGGCGAAGGCGGCCUUCUGGUCCAGUACUGACACUCAAGUGCGAAAGCGUGGGGAGCAAACAGG
rnacentral:rRNA from 1 species